UUUAACAUUCCAGAAAAUUGGAAACCAGAAUUAAUGAAAAGUGCGGGAAGAAUGAUGAGAGAUUUUAAGACCAACAUCACUAGUGACUACAUCUACCCUUUGGCAGAAGACGGUCUGAUAGAUGAACUCCAAAUCCUUCCUAAGAAAUAUCCAGAACUUGACCUAGAAGAUUGGAGGACAUUUGUUAGCCACCGUUUAUCUCCUGAGUUUAUGGUACUAUUGUGUAUAUCUAUUAUGUAUAUGAUUUAUUAGUUUUGAAAUACUAAUAAUUGCUUAAAAACUUAUUGUUACCUAUUUAAUGUAGGCUUUGCGGGAAGCACAACGUGAAAGAGCUCUCAAAUAUACUUCGAGGCAUCGUACAUCUCGUAGAGGGCUUGCCAAUGUUAGAGAGGACCUGAAAACUGAACUAGGUGUGGCAGAUGUAGAACGGUACCAAGUAUGGAUAAGAGCACGAGAAAAGAGGAAGGUUCUUGUUACAGAUUUGGACAAACAAAUUGAAGCAAGAAUUAAUGAGCUGAAAGAAAAAGUUAGUAGUGGAGAAAUCAUUGCAAAGGGUCGGAAUGACAUAUUAACGCAAGCUUUAGGGACACCUGAGCACCCAGGGCGUGUUAGAGCACUUGGGUCGUUUGCGAAGAUUUCGUCCGUCUUUGGAAGAAAACCAAAAAUAGCAACAGAAAUGGCUGAUGUUGUUAGUAAGAAAGAUGCAGAAAUUGCGAGGCUCAAAGCAGAACUUAAAGCUUUAGAGGAGGAAAAAGCUAAACAAGCAGGUGGGUUAGAUGAUAUGGAUGAACACGACAAUGAUGACGAGCAGAGCGACGAAGAAUACCACACACCGCACAUGCAGGAUGACACACCGUACAUGCAGGAUGUGUUACUUUGUUCGGAUAAUAUUCAUAAUG